AGAUCCUCUUUUUAAAAAAACCAAUUAGCAACAAAGAUAGAAUCCAAAAUACUGGAAUGAUUUUUUUCAAAGUUCCAAGAAAAAAAAAAAAAAAAAAAACAUUGGCCUAGAAUUCUGUGUCCUGUGAAAUUGUUUUUCAAGGUUGAAGAUAAAAUCAAGCCAUUUCAAAUACAUAGGCAACCGAACAAGUUGCUGCUCACAAAACAUCAUUAAAGAACUUGGGAAGUAUGUUCUUCAGGAAGCAGGGCUUGAUCCCAGAAACGAAGCCUGAGAGAGGGGCAGAUGUGAACAAAGAAAAUAUAACCAUGGAGGUACAGCUAAGCAAGAUAAGUGAAUAAUUUACAGGAUUUAUAAAGUAAAGUUAAAACUAAAAUCCUAGAAAGCAUUGGCAGAUAGGCAGUAAAAUUGUGAUUAGUUGAAGCAUUCUUAGGUCUUGACUUUUUUGGAACUGGGUAAAAAGAUAGACUAGCUUCAGACUUGUUAGGUUAAAUGUUCAUUGUAAAAAUUAUAGUGUGGAGUUCCCGUUGAGGCUCAGCAGUUAAUGAAUCUGACUAACAUCCUUGAGGGUGGAGGUUCAAUCCCUGGCCUUGCUCAGUGGGUUAAGGAUCCGGCUUUGCUGUGAGCUGUGGUGUAGGUCACAGACACGGCUCAAAUCCUGAGUUGUUGUGGCUGUGGCGUAGGCCGGCAUCUAUAGCUCUGAUUAAACCUCUAGCCUGGGAAUCUCCAUAUGCUGUGGGUGCAGCCCUAAAAAGGCAAACAAACAAAUAAAUAAAUAUUAUAGUGUGAGCACUGCAAGAAUAGAAAGAGAUGGUAUAAAUUUCAGAGCAGAAGAAGGAAAAUGGAAAGAAAGGAGGAAAAACAAAUAACCAACCCAAAAGAUGGUAAUAAAAAGACUUUAAAAAGAAAACAGAAAAGGUAAAACAAAUAACAAAAUAAAUAAUAGAUGUUAACCCAUAUUUAUUGAUAAGAAUGGUUGAAUAUUUUAGGACUAAAUUGGUAAAGAUUUUAUUCAUAUGCUAUUUAUUAGAGAUAUUCCUAAAACAUAAGACUUUAGAAAAGUCAAAAGGAAAAGGGUACACCAGAUACAUGCCACUGAAAAGCAAGUUGGAGCAGGUAUAUUAGUAUCAAAUCAAAAAACUUUAAGGCAGAGAACACAUUAUUUAAGUCAAAGUAGACCACUGACUAUUAAGUAAAGGGUCAAUUUAUUGAACUAUAAAAAUUCUAGGAGGUUCCUGUUGUGGCUCAGUGGAAAUGAAUCUGUCUAGCAUCCAUGAGGACACAGCUUCAAUCCCUGGCCUCGCUCAGUGGGUUAAGGAUCUGGCAUUGCCGUGAGCUGUGGUGUAGGUCACAGACACAGCUCAGAUCCUGUGUUGCUGUGGCUGUGGCAUAGGCCAGCAGCUACAGAUUCAAUUCGACCCCUAGCCUGGGAACCUUAAUAUGCCGUGAGUGUGCCCCCCCCCCCACCAAAAAAAAUCUAAACCUAUGUGAUUAUAAUACAGUUCCUAAAGAUAUAGAAGAUUUGACCAAAACAAACAAAAACUUGAACCAACAGACCUAUUUUGAACCCUGAACUCAGUAACCAAAGAAUACCCAUAAUUAUCAAACAUACAGAGAACAUUUACGAAACUUGAUCACAUUAGACUGUUAAGCAAGCCUCAAAAAAUUUCAGAGGAUAUUAUCAUUAAGAUAGAUCACAUCCUCUAGCUUAGAAAUUAAUAAGAAAGAGAUACUUUUGAGAAAUUAAAAGCAUGUUUGUAUAUAAUAUGAGUCAGGAGGAAAUCUGAAUUGAAAUCAGAAAAUUUUAAAACCGAAUGAUAAUUAAAAGACUACUUUCCAAAAGUCGUAAGGCAUAACUAUGUAGAGCAACUUGUAGCUUGUAUGAGAAAAGGAGAGAGGUUGAAAAUGAAUGAGUUAGGUAUCUAGCGUAAGAAGUUAAAGAACAAAUGCAUAAACUCAAGGAAAAUAGAUAAGAGAAAUAAAAGAAAAUAAAGUAUUGUAUAAUGGAAAGGAUUUUUUUAAUGCUCAAAUUUAGGUUUUUGAAAUAAAAUUUCAAAAAUAAACAUGGUCAAAAUCAAGGGAGAAGAUGGAGAAAAUUACUAGAAAGCAGAAAAGUGCUAGUGAUGAAAAAGAUGAUGUAAUUGAAUGUCAGUUGAAAUUAAAAGACUAAUAAAAGACUUAAGAACAACUUCAGGCUAAUAAAUUUGAAAACUUAGAUGAAAAGAAAAAAAA
rnacentral:lncRNA from 1 species